rnacentral:rRNA from 1 species
UACGUAGGGGGCAAGCGUUGUCCGGAUUCAUUGGGCGUAAAGAGUGUGUAGGCGGCCAGGUAGGUCGGUUGUGAAAACUGGAGGCUCAACCUUCAGAGGUCGACCGAAACCAUCUGGCUAGAGUCCGGGAGAGGAGAGUGGAAUUCCUGGUGUAGCGGUGAAAUGCGCAGAUAUCAGGAAGAACACCCGUGGCGAAAGCGGCUCUCUGGACCGGUACUGACGCUGAGACGCGAAAGCGUGGGGAGCAAACAGG